ensembl:snRNA
GUGUUGUAUGAAAAGAGAGAGGAUUAGCACUCCCCUUGACAAGGACAGAAGUGGCCCUUGGACCUGACAACAUGCAUAUGGUUAAGGCAUUGCCACCUAUUUCAUGGCAUUUAACUGUUGUUUUUG